rnacentral:lncRNA from 1 species
GAUUUCUGAGACUGGAAGAUCUGAUAAGUGAAAAAUUCAAAGAUUAGUUGUGGAGAUGCUUACUGGUUUCAAAGGUUCUUUACAUUUUAAUACAUGUAGGCCAUAUAAGACCCACGGGAUAUUCAGGCUGUUAUGCUACGUGAACAAGACCGGCCUACUUUAGAGGAAGCUAGCUUUGAGCCAUGUGGACAUAAGGCACUCUGCAUGACUUUGCUUUCAGGCCAUGGAUUGCUCUCUGGGAUAUAAAUGGAAAUAGGGAUGGGACAAUAAAAGGAU